rnacentral:rRNA from 1 species
AGGGGGAUAACAGUUGGAAACGACUGCUAAUACCGCAUACGCCCUACGGGGGAAAGGAGGGGACCUUCGGGCCUUUCGCGAUUGGAUGAACCCAGGUGGGAUUAGCUAGUUGGUGGGGUAAUGGCUCACCAAGGCGACGAUCCCUAGCUGGUCUGAGAGGAUGAUCAGCCACACCGGAACUGAGACACGGUCCAGACUCCUACGGGAGGCAGCAGUGGGGAAUAUUGCACAAUGGGGGAAACCCUGAUGCAGCCAUGCCGCGUGUGUGAAGAAGGCCUUCGGGUUGUAAAGCACUUUCAGCGAGGAGGAAAGGUUGGCGCCUAAUACGUGUCAACUGUGACGUUACUCGCAGAAGAAGCACCGGCUAACUCCGUGCCAGCAGCCGCGGUAAUACGGAGGGUGCAAGCGUUAAUCGGAAUUACUGGGCGUAAAGCGCACGCAGGCGGUUGGAUAAGUUAGAUGUGAAAGCCCCGGGCCUAACCUGGGAAUUGCAUUUAAAAACUGUCCAGCUAGAGUCCUGUA